rnacentral:snRNA from 1 species
GUCCCUUUGGGGACAUCUGAUAAAAUAGGAACGAUACAGAGAACAUUAGCAUGACCCCUACGCAAGGAUAACACGCAUAAAUUCAGAAAUGGCCCAAAUUUUU